rnacentral:rRNA from 1 species
UACGUAGGGAGCAAGCGUUGUCCGGAAUCAUUGGGCGUAAAGCGCGCGUAGGUGGCUUCGUAAGUCCGUUGUGAAAGUCAAAGGCUCAACCUUUGAAAGCCGAUGGAUACUGCGGAGCUAGAGUACGGAAGAGGCGAGUGGAACUCCUGGUGUAGCGGUGGAAUGCGCAGAUAUCAGGAAGAACACCAACGGCGAAGGCAGCUCGCUAGGACGGUACUGACGCUGAGACGCGAAAGCGUGGGGAGCGAACAGG